UACGUAGGGGGCGAGCGUUAUCCGGAUUUACUGGGCGUAAAGCGCGUUAAGGCGGCCGGCAAAGUUGAGGGUGAAAUUUCGGGGCUCAACCCCGAAACUGCCCACAAUACUGGUCGGCUAGAGUGCGAGAGAGGAAGGUGGAAUUCCCGGUGUAGUAGUGAAAUGCGUAGAUAUCGGGAGGAACACCAGUGGCGAAGGCGGCCUUCUGGCUCGUAACUGACGCUGUAGCGCGAAAGCGUGGGGAGCGGACGGG
rnacentral:rRNA from 1 species